AAAUACUUCACAAAAUUAAAAUAAUAGAAGAAUACUCAAACUCUAAAGAAGUGACUAUGGAGCGACUCUAAGAGUUUCAAGAAAAAGAACAUAACAAUUAAAUAAACUGUUGCCCACGCGAACAAAUGCAGGGCUCGCCAUGAAUAUCCAACUCGAAUACUCUACCUACCAAAAUCCUUACUAACGUCACCUGCGUUCUUUGUAAAAAAAUAGUGAGGAGUGAGACAUUAGCUCAAUGAGUAAUAACACUUAACUACAACCGUUUUAAUAGGAUAAGUCAUAAAACAUCAUGAAAUAAAUGCACUUUAAGAAAUAAAAUAACAAUAAGUAGUAUCAUUUGUUUCAUGUAAGCAAAAUGAUCCAAUAGUUAAGGGAUAAACUCAAUAAGCAUUAUAUCAUAUCAAAUAUUACAUAUUUGGGAGGUUUCCAUGAAUGAAUCACGUAAUCAAUGUGGUAUUCCACUUCAAAAAUAGCCAAUAACAGUGAACCCCUCAUAAAAGAGUCAAAAAUCAUAUCAGUAAGUCCCUACUCGAGGGACAUCAGUAAUAGUAUGCUAGUUCUACCUUCCCACUAGCGAGGGCUGUAACAGUAAUCAGUAACUACAAGGUGCACCAAGUCUAACGAUCCCGCCAUUAGCUAAGGGAUUCAAAUCAAGGUCUACUCUCACUUAUAUUUUCUUUCUAAACAAUAGAUAUUCAUAUGAAAGUAUUUUUCAGAAUAGUCCAUAGCAUUUAAAGUUCAUAUCAAAUCACAUUACUUGUAAACUUGAAUAAAAUACAUGUAAAAAUACUUAUUUCUCAUGUGAGUGAAAAACUUUCAUAACAUCAGUGAUCAUAUCUCAAGUAACGGUAAAUAUGUUUUAUGAACAUCUCAAAUACCCAAUUUCAGUAUCAUAUCGAGAAAAAGACUUGUCCCACAUGCAAUUUCAAAACAUUCAGUAAUUCUUGUUUCAUCAAAAUCAUGUAUAAAAUGGCAAGUUAAGAAACACAAAUCUUGAGAAGGUUACUACUCACAGUACUUCUUGUUAGAAUACCAAACUCAUCACCUCGAGAAAUUAGGAUGAGUUUCUUCGACCAAUCUAUAAUCACAUCAUAUCAACUCCGUAUCAAUUCUCUUAUUUAAGCAAAACUCGUAACUAAUUCAGCACACCCAACGCCCGACUUAGUUUGAGUCUCAAUUAGUCAAAUUAUAUUUAUUCAUGCUAGUAGUAACUCAAUUAGUCCACAAUUUCUCAAUUUCAGCUUAUUCAUCCAAUUCUUUACCCAAAAAUCUAAUUUUCCUGGCCUAACAUAGAGCAAAAUAACUUUACUGUUAAUCAUACUUUUCUAUGGAAUUCAAUUUCUAAUAACCAAUAGAAAUCUCAAGUCUCCAAUAACAAAACAUACAAAUUAGAAGAAAACUCAACAUUUAAAGUUCCGGAAAUACCCGAAAUAGUUGUAGCAGCUUAUGAUUUCUUGAUAUUGUAAAUAUGGUUCCACGAAAGCUCAACUACUGCUCCAUACUAGCAUACCCAUGAAUAAUCAUAGAUUAAAAAUACCAGAACUAUUGGGAGAAGUAAUACUAAGUUCACCAAAGUUUUUCUGUUUCCCCAACUUGGCAGAACUCUUGCAAACGUAUUGUUAUAAAUUUCUUGUUCUCAUUGAGUCUCUUAUCCGGUUUUUUUUCCUCAACACAGAUUUUACCUUGCCCUUGACUAUUGGUCUUUAAAAUCCUUAUUUUAUUAAGUUUAUUCAAAAUGACCCCUUUGUCCUUAUUUAAAUAUGGGGUAGUACAAGAUGCACGCCCCAGG
rnacentral:lncRNA from 1 species